AAUUAAUCCCCCUGCUUGUGCAUAGCAUGGGACUUCUCCACCCCUGGUACUGGCUUUGCUCUGGGGGUAACAGCCUAGCCUUGCCACCUUGCCUCUCUGCUCAAGAACCACUGGGCUACACAGCCUCCUGAGGUUCUCUCCAGCCCCUCUGGUCAGAUGUGGUAGGGAGGCACUCUCCACAGCAUGUGGGGCCGUGACUCAGCUCCUUGCUUAAGUGUAAGCAAACUAGGCUCUAGGGCUGGCAAACCUCCUUAUUUAAGAUCCAGCAGAUCUGUACCCUGCCAAUUUCUCUAAUCUGAGUGCAAUGCCGACUUGGUUUUGCAGAUAAGCAAAACCCCACUGGUUCGGAUUACUACUUGGAUGCUGCAGGUAACCAAGCCAAAGUCUCAAGGACCCUUAAUGUUCAGCUUCAAAGAAGUGAGUAAAAUAAGCAAGAUUAGCCUGGCCAGUAGUGGAUAAAGGGUGGUUGUGCUUCCCUAUCUCACCACACUGACCCUUUAUUUAAUGAAGAUGGAGAUGGAAAGGAAAAAGGAAAAAAAAAAAUCAAUGCAUUUUCCAUACUAGCAGCUGGUGUGCAUAUCACCCGGGACUCAAGUCUAAGGCAGGACCUACCCCCAGACAGGCUGUCUGGUCAGCACUCCAUUCCAAGGAGAAAAAAGAAGAAAAAAAAUCAGCGAAAGGAA